rnacentral:lncRNA from 1 species
CUCAGAUACAGCAAGGACCUCAGUGUUACCUAUCAGUUCAGUUCUCAAAAACGUGGCUCCAGACCUAAGCCUGCAAUGACUCAGGAUUUCAGAGGUUGUCGAUUUAGUCCUAAAAUGCAGAACAACUUUACACAGUAUGAGAACACAUGAAGCCAUUACACAAGAAAUUCAAAGAGUCUGCUGGAUCACCAAGUCAGCAGCAAUAUCUGCAAAACUUCCAUCAUCUCUCCUGUGAAGACAGGCUGAAGGAGCUGAGCUUGUUCAGUCUGGAGAAGAGAAUACUGUGAGUAGAUUUCACCACCC